AGAAGGAAAGUUAAGACCAUAAACCCCCCCUCCCCUCCCCCAGAGACGCUGAGCGGCCUGCACCCCUCACUAACGGCGUGGACGCCCACCACUCCAUGCGUGUGGAGUGCUGGUCCUGCAGCCCAGUGAGGCGGAGAGACCAGACCACCAUGAACCAGGCAGCCCAGGACUGCGGACACGCCUACUGCGGCCUCCUGACCCCGGACACCACGGCAUGGGGCGAGAACAGUGACUCCGGCCAGGGCACCUACAGCCAGCCCACGGGGAAGGGCACCAACGAGCUGGAGGCGUCCCCCGGGAUCCACGGCCUGGAGGACUGCGAGACCGACCCCGACGACACCUCGGCCUUCGACUACUCCUCCGUCACCUCCUGCAGCCCCGACGGCACCCUGAGGAGGGAGACGAUGGGCGGCCACAGCGGGGAGGACGAGGAGGAGGACAGCCAGGUGCCGGUGCUGCUGAAGCCCUCCUACAGCCAGCAGCAGAGCAGGGAGGCCCCCAGGGAGCGGACCGUCUGUCUGCGGUGGCAGAUCCCCAGACUGACCCCCCACCCUCCGCUGAGAAGCUCAGGGGGCGCCUGUGUGGACGGGCUGACGCCGUGUCUCGUCAACUCCUACGGGAAGAGGCUGGUCAGCGUCAGGAAGGGGUCGCCUCCUCUACACCCCAAAAGUGCCUUCAGGCCCAUCUGGGACGACCCGUCCAAACAGCAGCUGGACUCAGCUCCGGAGAAAGACAGCAGGCAGGGCUUCAUCCCGAUUCAAGCUCCAGCCAGGCCCAACUUUCAGACCUUCAACCCGAACAGAGAAAACCUGAGACCAGGUCUGGUCCAGCAGAGAGCCAACCACGCAGCGGUGAUGAGCAGCGGAGGAUUAUGGGACGACAGCGAGGACAGCGAGGGACCCUGCAGCACCGUUUGA
rnacentral:lncRNA from 1 species